AGUCUUUUCUGUGGUUAACGUCGUGACGGUAAUAACGAGAAUGCUGAUACUAAUAACGACAGCCUUUUUAUGUCGGAAAAUGCAUAAAAAUAAAGAUAAACAAGGAAUGGAGAAUGAAAACAUGGCACUGUCCCCACCGUGCUAUUAUCUUGAAUGUGAUUUACUUCAGCUCUUCCAAACAGACAACUGUCUGAACAAUACAAGGAUGCGGCCAGCACCCAAACAGACCACACUCCUCCGAAGUAGGAGGGCAAUCAUCACUCACCAGUGACUCCUAAUGUCGAAAAUGUAUGCGAUUCGGACCAUGGCACCCGAUCUAGGUAAACUGAACAGCACCGCGAACUCACAGCAUAGUGAACAAUCCGCUCGGCAGUCGGAGACAAGCACAUUUGCAAUUUUUCUGAGAUUUGUCAGAAUUGGAAUGACUCCAUCCACGGAAGGUAAUGGAUGUGAAAAUGGGAAAUAGAGCCAUGAGAACGGAAGGCCGCCUUCUUUCCUCUGUUCCCGUGCCUGUGGGGUUUACGCUGUAAUUCAGGAAGAUGUGCCAAGGAAAGGCGCUGCUCUCACCAGCCUGGGUCCAGGGCUCUGGGCCACCAUUGACAUGUCGGUGCACACCAACGGCGUCCCUGGGGAGCUUACCUGGCACUGCCAGAGCAGAGCAGCUCUGCUGCAAAUCCAUGCUAACUCGGAAAGCUCUUGAUGACCCAGAGCAGUUGGCUCUGCUGUCCUCUACCUUGCACUGUCCAGAGGACUUGGAAUGGCAAGCUACUUGGGAAGUCAAACAAUCAGAAGGAUGCUUGGGGAACAGGCAGUCAGAACAGGAGCAUGGAGUUUGAUGAUUCCAACGUCCAGCCACACGGUAAGAUACACCUGUCAGGCAGGGCAGGCGCUGGGCUCGGGAGCAGAGAACCUGCUCCCAGGGUUGGUACUUAGGUGGGCUUUGCAGCAGUUUUCCCACAUAACUGUCCUUUCUGGCGUUUCCAUUUUAGGCCUGCAUCUUAUCAUGCUAAAGGGCCUUCCCCUCGCCCUGAGAUGUGUUUGACUAGCCUGCUUUUAAUUCAUGCUGGAUGUGAAGGCGGUCCAUCUCAUUGAUGGAGUUUUGUUUUGUUUAGCUCUGAUCAUGCUGUGUUGAUUGUGUAGCUUAAUUCUCAGAGACAAAACCGAUUUCCAGGUUCUUAAAGAGCACUCCUGCAUGGCCUCCAGGGUGCCACGCCACCCCCUGCAGCUGCACGAGCUCCUUCUCAUUCUUUAUUCCUUUAUGUGCUCCCUGUGAUUAACCUGGCUGCUACUCCUGUGUCCAUGGCUUGGGUCUGCCUCAGCCACCUCCAGCCCCCAACAUCCCCACAUCUUUCUCAUCAGAGGGUAGUGGCACCUUUUGCUGCUCAUGGUCCAGCAUUGUCACAAGGAUCAGAUGGCAAACAAAGCACAGCGCUGUGAAGUCUGUGCAGAGAGAAGGGAUUCUAAUUUCUUUUCUUAAAAAAAAAAAUGGCUGUUGGGCUUGAUUUUCUUCAUUUCAGAUUGUCUGGUGGGACCCAAGAGAAAGGUGGAAAAUCACUUUAAAACAACUUCGACUGCAAACCCGUUUCCAUGAAGUUCCUCUAGACUUUUGUUAUGUUAGUAAAUCUCCCCACAUAAUCUCAUUUGGCAUAAUCUCAUCUUUCACUUUGGUACAAGUGCUUUAAGAUUUGAUCACAGAUCUCUUUUUCACAGAUAUCCUAUUCACUAGCACCCUAAUGUACACAAAUGCUAUUUGGUUAAGAGAUACUAGCCACAAAAUAAAAAAUAUAUCUAAGAAUUAUCUGAUAUGACUUUGCAAAUGCCUAUCAACCAGCAAAGCGUUGCAAUCAACCAGCAAUACACAGUUGUUUAGUAAUGCAGAUCAUUGCCAGCUUCACUCUUGUUAAUUCGUGGCUCAGGUCCUUAGACUUUGACUUCAUCUCCUGUUUUGGGAAGCUUUGCUGAACUUUAAUCCGGGCUCUGUAUCCACCAGUGCAUUGCCUUGAAGCCUGUUUUGGUUUACCCAGCCCUCAAUGGGCGUCCACCUGCUUACCGCUCCUCUGAAUACCAGCCUUCACAGAAACUGCACCAGGAGAUAAUUAGUCACGCUAACAACCUCGGAAAGCACUGACGAGGCUGUUCAGACCCCUCAUUGGAAACCGGAACAGGAGCUGUUGCUCUAUAAUUAGUGUAUCACGCAUAACUCCAAGCUGCUCACCUUCUGAUACCUGGCUGCCCUCACCUUGUCUGCAUCCCAACGCACAAUGGAAGUGAGCGCCUGGCCUGCCAUGGGUGUACAGGGUGUGUGGUGCAAUAUUUUGUGAGCAUCAUGUACCUGCAACUCUCAUUAAUUAAAAAGACAGCUGGUACCCUAAAAAAAAGAGGCACAGUUCAUUUAAUGACAGGUAUUUUAAAUGUGUAUGCUAAUUUCAGGUUUUUCCUUUCAUCCUUCGGAAACACAGACGUGGAAGGAGGCUGCUGGAAGGAAGUGUGUGAGAUGAGCUUAUUUGUGAGUGAGCAGGAGGGAAGGGGUGGUGAACUUUCCUCCCAGGACGAGACGUGUACCUGCACUUCUCAGCCAUGAGUGUCGGGAACCAGUCCUGGAGAAGCAUGACAAAUCGCUUCCCUGUGAAGGCUCACAAUCUUGGGAUAACUGCAUAGCAGGAAAUAAACAAGACUUGGCUCUAUAUUUGAAGCUGCAGUACAAACAGAACCUAAAAGACAGACAGAAAGAAAAGGAUACACAGACAUGUAUGCAUGACAUGGGGGAGGGGAGAAGACACUGUCAGAAAGAAUACCCAGAAAAAUAGUGCAGGAAUGCUCACAAACCCAAAUUAGCUGCAGCUUCAAUGCAGUUAACUAUUGUUUCCCUUUGGAAAGAAUUUUAUUAUUCUGUUUUCCUCAUCUCUUCUGAAAGAACGAGCUUUGAGCAGCAUCUGCAAAUUGCUGGUAGGGAAAUCCUUGAUCUUUACCCCUAUUGAGAUUGUCAAAAGAUACCAAAAGCUGGAAUCUGUGCUUUAUAAAGUUAAUGUUUUCUGGAAAUUGCAGCAAUACAGAAAGCAGCCUUUGCUCUGCUUUCAACAGUGUUUGAGAGGAUUCUGAAACUCUCUGCAGGUGAGGAAGAAGCCACCAAACUGACCGUUUCAAAUCUGUAUUCUAAAUUAUUUCUGCUGUUGGUGUGAACCCUGGGACAGAACGGGUGUGUACUCAUUUGAACCUUAGCUCAAUGGACAGCUCUAGGUGUGUAAGUGGGUUGGUGGUGGCUGUGCAGAGGAAGACACAUUUCAGAUUUGGUUUCUCCAAGGUUUCACGAGUUGUUGGUUGCAUUCCAUCUAAAUUAUAAUCCCCAAACGUGUUUAAUCGAGAGCUGCACAACAGUGCAAAGUGGUGGAUGUGAAUGUUGAAUAGAGCCCAACCUAUACAUUUUGGGGCCUUCCUAGGGCCUGGAUUUUAACUGAGCAUUAUCAGUGUGACUAAUUUCUCACUGUUAAUUAAAUGUUAUAAUGAGUCUUCAAUACUUUUAAAACCAGAAGAGAAGUAUUCUGUGACAAAACUAUAUAUAUGUUUAAAAAACAAAAGAAUUCCAUCUUUCUGUUGACACUUGCUCCACACCUUUGUGGGGCAUUUUCUAAAAGAGAAGAAAAUAACAACAAAACGUCU